rnacentral:rRNA from 1 species
GGAGUUUGGACCGUCUCUCAGUUCCAAUGUGGCCGAUCACCCUCUCAGGUCGGCUACCGAUCGUCGACUUGGUGGGCCGUUACCUCACCAACUAUCUAAUCGGACGCGAACUCACCCCAAACCCGGUUGCCCGUUUUACCCCUGAACCAUGCGAUUCCGUGGUCUUAUGCGGUAUUAGCACCUGUUUCCAAGUGUUAUCCCCCCUGUCUGGGACAGAUUGUUCACGCGUUACUCACCCGUCCGCCACUAGAAUACAUCAAAAUCCUGCCGAAGCUCUCAUUUAAUAUAUCCCCGUUCGACUUGCAUGUGUUAAGCACGCCGCCAGCGUUCGUCCUGAGCCACUGAUCAAACUACU